AUUGAACGCUGGCGGCAGGCUUAACACAUGCAAGUCGAGCGGGGAAAAGUAGCUUGCUACUGGACCUAGCGGCGGACGGGUGAGUAAUGCUUAGGAAUCUGCCUAUUAGUGGGGGACAACAUCUCGAAAGGGAUGCUAAUACCGCAUACGUCCUACGGGGGAAAGCAGGGGACCUUCGGGCCUUGCGCUAAUAGAUGAGCCUAAGUCGGAUUAGCUAGUUGGUGGGGUAAAGGCCUACCAAGGCGACGAUCUGGAGCGGGUCUGGGAGGAUGAUCCGCCACACUGGGACUGAGACACGGCCCAGACUCCUACGGGAGGCAGCAGUGGGGAAUAUUGGACAAUGGGGGGAACCCUGAUCCAGCCAUGCCGCGUGUGUGAAGAAGGCCUUUUGGUUGUAAAGCACUUUAAGCGAGGAGGAGGCUACCGAGAUUAAUACUCUUGGAUAGUGGACGUUACUCGCAGAAUAAGCACCGGCUAACUCUGUGCCAGCCGCCGCAGUAAAAC
rnacentral:rRNA from 1 species